rnacentral:rRNA from 1 species
CAGUAGCCACGGUAAUACGGAGGGUGCAAGCGUUAAUCGGAAUUACUGGGCGUAAAGCGCACGCAGGCGGUCUGUCAAGUCAGAUGUUAAAUCCCCGGGCUUAACCUGGGAACUGCAUUUGAAACUGGCAGGCUAGAGUCUUGUAGAGGGGGGUAGAAUUCCAGGUGUAGCGGUGAAAUGCGUAGAGAUCUGGAGGAAUACCGGUGGCGAAGGCGGCCCCCUGGACAAAGACUGACGCUCAGGUGCGAAAGCGUGGGGAGCAAACAGGAUUAGAUACCCGCGUAGUCCCUGUCUCUUAUAC